AUUGAACGCUGGCGGCAUGCCUUACACAUGCAAGUCGAACGGCAGCGGACCUUCGGGUGCCGGCGAGUGGCGAACGGGUGAGUAAUGUAUCGGAACGUGCCCAGUAGUGGGGGAUAACUACUCGAAAGAGUGGCUAAUACCGCAUGAGAACUGAGGUUGAAAGCGGGGGACCUUCGGGCCUCGCGCUACUGGAGCGGCCGAUAUCAGAUUAGGUAGUUGGUGGGGUAAAGGCUCACCAAGGCGACGAUCCGUAGCGGGUCUGAGAGGACGACCCGCCACACUGGAACUGAGACACGGUCCAGACUCCUACGGGAGGCAGCAGUGGGGAAUAUUGCGCAAUGGGCGAAAGCCUGACGCAGCCACGCCGCGUGAGUGAUGAAGGCC
rnacentral:rRNA from 1 species